GGCCACAUUGGGACUGAGACACGGCCCAGACUCCUACGGGAGGCAGCAGUAGGGAAUCUUCCGCAAUGGGCGAAAGCCUGACGGAGCGAUGCCACGUGGAUGACGGAGGCCUUCGGGUCGUAAAAUCCUGUCAGGGGGGACGAUGGUCAAUUUUCGGAUUGAUUGACGGUACCUCCAGAGGAAGCUCCGGCCAACUACGUGCCAGCAGCCGCGGUAAUACGUAGGGAGCAAGCGUUGUUCGGAUUUACUGGGCGUAAAGAGUGCGUAGGUGGCUAUACAAGUCAAGGGUGAAAUCUCUAUUUUCAAGGUAGAAACUGCCUUUGAUACUGUAUGGCUAGAGGACAAGAGGGGGAAAUGGAACUCUGGGAGUAGCGGUGAAAUGCGUAGAUAUCCAGAGGAACGCCAGUAGCGAAGGCGGUUUCCUGGCUUGUUUCUGACACUGAGGCACCAAAGCUAGGGGAGCGAUCGGGAUUAGAGACCCCGGUAGUCCUAGCCCUAAACGAUGGGUACUAGGUGUGGGGGGAGCAUUACCCUCUGUGCCGAAGCUAACGCGUUAAGUACCCCGCCUGGGGAGUACGGUCGCAAGACUGAAACUCAAAAGAAUUGACGGGGGGCUGAACAAGCAGUGGAGCACGUGGUUUAAUUCGACGCAAAGCGAAGAACCUUACCAGGACUUGACAUGCUAGUAGUAGUGAUCCGAAAGGUGAGCCAUCCAGGCUUCGGCUUGGAAGCUAGCACAGGUGGUGCAUGGUUGUCGUCAGCUCGUGCCGUGAGGUGUCGGGUUAAGUCCUUUAACG
rnacentral:rRNA from 1 species